UAGAAGGGCCUGCGUUGAAGCACACGA
rnacentral:piRNA from 1 species